GGCCUGAGAGGUUGAUCCCCCACAUUGGUAUUUAGACACGGACCAGAUUCCUACGGGAGGCAGCAGUGAGGAAUAUUGGACAAUGGGUGCGAGCCUGAUCCAGCCAUCCCGCGUGAAGGACGACGGCCCUAUGGGUUGUAAACUUCUUUUGUAUAGGGAUAAACCUACUCUCGUGAGGGUAGCUGAAGGUACUAUACGAAUAAGCACCGGCUAACUCCGUGCCAGCAGCCGCGGUAAUACGGAGGGUGCAAGCGUUAUCCGGAUUUAUUGGGUUUAAAGGGUCCGUAGGCGGAUCUGUAAGUCAGUGGUGAAAUCUCACAGCUUAACUGUGAAACUGCCAUUGAUACUGCAGGU
rnacentral:rRNA from 1 species